rnacentral:rRNA from 1 species
UACGUAGGUGGCAAGCGUUAUCCGGAAUUACUGGGCGUAAAGCGCACGCAGGCGGCGCAGCAAGUUCGACGUGAAAGCUCCCGGCUUAACUGGGAGAGGUCGUUGAAGACUGCUGUGCUUGAGGCAGGGAGAGGGGUGUAGAAUUCCCGGUGUAGUGGUGGAAUGCGUAGAUAUCGGGGGGAAUACCAGUGGCGAAAGCGGCACCCUAGCCUUAGCCUGACGCUCAUGUGCGAAAGCGUGGGGAGCGAACGGG